AGAUUGAUUAUGAAGAGGCGAGAGGGAAUGAGAAGUCUAGGAUGUAUUCCUAUGCCAUGAGCCUGAGGAAUCUGGAGGACUGUGUUACCCUCUACAGUGUUCAAAAAGAUCCUGGAAGCAGUCCUGAGGCAUACUUUCAAAGAGAGGAAGAGAAUUAGCAAUACUAAUGCUUUUGGCCAUAGGACAGCAGGGAACACUAGUAAUAGUUCAAAGACUUCAAAGAGUACUUAUGGUUACUCCUGAACCAGAACGCAGACCUGGCAAGUAUUAAAUAUAUCUCUACUUAUGUCAUAUCACC
rnacentral:lncRNA from 1 species